CUUUCUCGACUCGGGAGACGAACCUAUGGCGUCGCCGCCGCCAUCCUCGCUGCUCCCCUCAAGUAUUGCCCCGUCGCCUCUUGUCCUCCUCUCUGCUGCAGAGCUUCUCUUCUCUCCUCGGUUCCUCAUCUCUAUCGAUCUGGCGAUGCGAAGGGGACUAACCCUGGUUGCGCCGCCGCCAUCGGUGAGAUCCUGCCUCUCCUUCCGCCGCUGCCUUCACUUCCCGGCCCCAAUUCCCAUCAUGCCCACCUUCACGCGCAACACACCAUCCCCCCGAUCGCGAGCUAUGGUGAAACCUCGAUGCAUCGCCACUGCUGCUUUCUUCGCCUCCGAGGUCCGUCGUGAUGCUCCGAUUUGAUCGACGGCGCACUCCCUGGAAGUCCGCCAGGCUUUGGGAUACCGAGAUGAGAAGGCAUGCUAAUUUGCAUGGCUGCAGAAGAAAGGAGUAACUGUCUAACUGAUCAUUAAAGUUCAAGAUAUCAUGAGUUCAUGACCCAAAUAAUGGUUGGUGAAACUGCUCGCAACUGAAGGAGGUAUUUUUGGCUGAUGAAACACAGUGGCAUUCACCAGCUGUUAUAAAAUGCCCCAACAAUUCAUAUGUAAGAAUUGCUCUGGUCAUAGAUGGUGUGAACAUUUGUUAGCUCUAAUUUUGCAGGCACAAGUAAGAAAUAUCUCUGAACUUGUAUGUUGUAUUUGGUUCUUUUGUAGUUCCUGCUGGUUGGCAAUAUUCUUCCAGACUGAGUACCUCUGGUCUAUCAACAUAGCAGAUUAUGGAUCUGUAGCAACUUAGUUACAAGCAUAUUUACAUAGAAGAACUGUAUCAAAGGGUUCUGUAGGAAUUUCUCCAUACUGCAUUGUUGUAUCAUAACUUCGUAAGCAGAGCAUGCCCAUCUAAUAAUCUUCAUCAUGAUCUCUCUCCGCCAAAAAUAGGGAAGGAGCUAGGAGGCAUGAAGAAGUUCCAAGCAGCCUGUCUCUGAUCUCUCUUGGACGUUCAACCAGGGUAGCACAAACAAGAGAAGACUAUAGACAAGGUCUUUCAUUCUUGAUCUAUGUCUCUCUUAUAGAAUGAAUUCAGUUUAGGCCACUACGGGACCUUUUAGUAUAGAUUCACUUGUUAUUCAAAGAUUUGUGCACAUGAAUUUCCAUAAUGUUUUGCAUUGAAUAUUUUAGCAUGUUUGA